UACGUAGGGGGCGAGCGUUGUCCGGAAUUAUUGGGCGUAAAGAGCUCGUAGGCGGUUCGGCAAGUCACGUGUGAAAUCUCCACGCUCAACGUGGAGGCGCCACGUGAGACUGCUGUGACUCGAGUCCGGUAGGGGAGCGUGGAAUUCCCGGUGUAGCGGUGAAAUGCGCAGAGAUCGGGAGGAACACCCGUAGCGAAGGCGGCGCUCUGGGCCGGUACUGACGCUGAGGAGCGAAAGCAUGGGGAGCAAACAGG
rnacentral:rRNA from 1 species